CGUAUGAGUAUAUAGUAAUCUUCUUUUUUAUUAAGCAAGAAAGGCCUCCUUUUUCCUUCAUCUUCUUAAAAACAAUGGAGAGAAGUAGAGAACUCAUAUCAGAGCACCACCGCACUAAUCUGCCACCACUCAACAACCUUCUCUAGCGCUAAGACGCGGCCGAAGACUGCCCCUGUGCCACUUAGGUCAGCAGCUGUCAGGGGUGGUCCAGUCAAAGCCACUCACGAACAUCCUUUUGAUUUUAAGAUCAAAGAAGUUAAUGGUAGCUGAAAGAGUAAAGAUCAGUAAUCAACAAAGUAAUGUCAAUCAAUCAUAUAAGAGAAUGGUGACUUUAAGUCAAAAGGAUAAAUUUUGGUUUAGAUUUACAAACGGAAUUAUCUCGGAAUUUCUACAGAAAUUUAUAUAUUUUAAAUUGUUUCAAAUUAUUCUUAUAAUGUAAUUUCUUUACAUCUUUCAAAGGUUGUAAAGUCUAUAUUUAAAUUCUUGAUAGAUGUGUUAUAGAUAAUAUAGUCAGUUGAGUAAUUGAUUAUAUUAUCAAUGUAAUGGUCCGAUAUAAGUGUUAAGCUUUCGCAUUAGUUUAAAUUAAUCUUAUUUAAUCAGGUGGUUAAUUUCGGGUUGUUACACCCGGCCCAUUAAACAACCCUAGUUGUGACUGGUCAAACUAGCUAUUUGUGACUGGUCAAACAACCCUAGUUUAUACAUACAAACUAAAUUGCCUAGUUUCGUUCCAUCCUCAAGGUUUCUCAAAUAUUAUACCAUAUGAUUUUAAAGUAAAAAUAAGGUAUAUGGCUAUAAUGUUGUUUAAUUUUUUAAUAUUUUAAUGAUUUUGUAUUAUUUAUUUAUAGUUAGCAAUAUUAAUUAAUUAAAUCUAGUUAGCAAAUAAUUUUUUUGUCCUUUUUCAAAUUGACAAGCCAAAGACAAACCAAAAACCAUUCAAUUGUUAACAAAUAAGAUUCUGUAACAAUUGGAAAAAAACAUUUUUUAAAAAAGGCAGGACCAAUUACAAUACUUUUACGGGACUCCAUUGUCGGAAGCUCUAGUGUUUAGCGCAUGCCAAUGCAGCUAAAACAAUUACUAAUUUGGUUUAGACAUUUUACUAUCUAUUUAUAUUUAAAUAAGCUAAAAAUGUGAACAGUAUAUUUUACUACUCUGUCCGUUGCUUAAUAAAGUUUUUAAAAUAAAUGUUCACAGGAAUUAAAAAUAAAAUAUUUUAAACAGUGGAUAUAAUGUUUUAUUGAAUAAUAAAUUUGAUUGAGAAAAAGUAGAGAUUAAAACAUCAAAAAAUAUUAAAAGAAAGUUAGUGGAAAAAAUAUGAGGAUCACACUUAAUAUAAUAACCUUGUUAAAAUGUUAGUGGAAAGCGUAAGGACCAUAAGAAAUAUAAAAAUGUUAAAAUAAAGUUAGUGUAAGAUAUGUGAGGAUCAUAAGCAUUAUUAAAAUAUUAAAAUGAGAAUAAAUAAGAUUAUUUUUGUCCAAAAUUUAUGAUAAAAAUAAAAAGAUUAUUUAUGAGAAUAACAAUUUAAACAUCUUAAAAUAGCAAAUAGAGAUUUCUUUAAGGAACGGAGGGAUUAUCUUUCUCUUCAAAAUUACAUACGUACAACUUAUUACAGUUACAGAUUACUUAUUGGUUGCUUUCCUUCCACCUUUAUGAAAGAAUUUUAAUUCUCAUCACAAUUACAAAAAGAUUAAUUUCACCGUCCUCUUAACC